UGUGUACUCCCUCCGUUCCAAAAUACUUGACUUCCAUUUGUCCAAAAAUGGAUGUGUCUAUAUACUAAAACAUGUCUAGAUACAUAUAUAUUUUGACAAAUAGAAGGCAUGUAUUGUGCAACGAAGGGAGUAGAAU
rfam:Triticum aestivum genome assembly, contig: Triticum_aestivum_CS42_TGACv1_scaffold_049448_1BS